GAGUUUGAUCGUGGCUCAGAUUGAACGCUGGCGGCAUGCCUUACACAUGCAAGUCGAACGGCAGCACGGGAGCUUGCUCCUGGUGGCGAGUGGCGAACGGGUGAGUAAUGCAUCGGAACGUAUCCUGGAGUGGGGGAUAACGUAGCGAAAGUUACGCUAAUACCGCAUAUUCUGUGAGCAGGAAGGCGGGGGACCUUCGGGCCUCGCGCUCUUGGAGCGGCCGAUGUCGGAUUAGCUAGUUGGUGAGGUAAAGGCUCACCAAGGCGACGAUCCGUAGCAGGUCUGAGAGGAUGAUCUGCCACACUGGAACUGAGACACGGUCCAGACUCCUACGGGAGGCAGCAGUGGGAUUUGGACAAUGGGGGCAACCCUGAUCCAGCCAUGCCGCGUGAGUGAAGAAGGCC
rnacentral:rRNA from 1 species